GGCGGUAUAGUUCAGCUGGCCUAGAACAGCGGAAUCAUAAUCCGCAUGUCGGGGGUUCGAAUCCCUCUACCGUCA
rnacentral:tRNA from 1 species